rnacentral:lncRNA from 1 species
AACCAACUUUGUGUGGAACAACCAACUGUAACCGUAACUGUGGAAACCCAUUCCUUGUACAGGGCUACCCAGGAGCAGUGGGUUUAACUGGGAGACCUGGUCAUUUUGGAGAGAGGGUAAGAAAAUACCCCAUACAGUUCUACCACAUGUUAGUGUUAGUAUAGUUGUUGAUUUCAUUGAAUGCCACCUGUCUGUCUGUCUAACCUCAGGGGGAACUUGGUGUGAGAGGUCCCGCUGGUAUCCCUGGGAAGAGUGGACCACCAGUGAGUACACUGUACUGACACUCACAUUAUGGAAAGAAUAGUGUAAACUAAUAUUGGUGGAAAUAUUACACAUUGAUACCUUUUAUUACCACGUUACCACGUUGAUGUUUUUAAUCUGUCCUAUAGGGGUUAAAGGGAUCUCAUGGAGAGAGAGGGCCGGCUGGACCUCAGGUAAGGAAGCUCACUCUUUAAGACCAUUUGACUAAUACAGACUAGCUUUAGACACACUGGAAGAGGUUUCCCCCUGGGGUUACAGCCUGACUCUGCCAUGAUGUUUUUCUGGUUUAUCCACCUCAGGGUCGUCAAGGAGACAAUGGACUCAAUGGCAUACAGGGGUCACCAGGUCCUCCAGGCCUACCAGGGCCAGAGGGCAAGACAGGAAAGCCAGGCCCCCCAGGAAGCCAGGGGCCUCUAGGGCCUCAGUUGCUAGCCGGACCCACCGGGUUUCCAGGCACUCCUGGGAUAGAUGGAGUAAUGGGGCAGGUUGGAGAAAAUGGAGUGCAGGGAGCAGCAGGGCCUGUUGGGGACAGUGGGCCAUCUGGACUGGAUGGACAGCAGGGUCCCCCAGGAACAGUUGGUGAGGAGGGGCCAUCUGGCAGGAAGGGGGAACCGGGAGCUCCAGGUCCCUUUGGAAAGGCAGGGCUGAAUGGACUACAGGGAGAGCCAGGGCCACAGGGCUCCCAGGGGAUGCAGGGUGAGCCUGGGCCAAGGGGCAAAGAGGUCAGUUGUAUUACCCUUUCUACCAAGCUCAUCUACAGACACAGGCUGCCAUCAUUAUCAGCUUGGGAUGUGGUUUCAUGGUUUUCUGUGAUUGUCUGUUGCAGGGAGAGAUGGGAGGUUUCGGCAACAGAGGAUAUCCUGGUCCUAAAGGACAAAAGGGGGACAUAG